rnacentral:rRNA from 1 species
GUGUCAGCAGCCGCGGUAAUACAGAGGUCUCAAGCGUUGUUCGGAUUCAUUGGGCGUAAAGGGUGCGUAGGUGGUGCUGUAAGUCAGGUGUGAAAUCCCGGGGCUCAACCCCGGAACUGCACUUGAUACUGCAGUGCUCGAGGACUGGAGAGGAGAUCGGAAUUCAUGGUGUAGCAGUGAAAUGCGUAGAUAUCAUGAGGAAGACCAGUGGCGAAGGCGGAUCUCUGGACAGUUCCUGACACUGAGGCACGAAGGCCAGGGGAGCAAACGGGAUUAGAUACCCCAGUAGUCC